rnacentral:rRNA from 1 species
CUACGGGGCGCUGCAGGCGAGAAAACUUUGCAAUGUGCGAAAGCACGGCAAGGUUAAUCCGAGUGGUUUGUGCUAAACGAACCUUUUGACAGUCCUAGAAACACUGUUGAAUAAGGGGUGGGCAAGUUCUGGUGUCAGCCGCCGCGGUAAAACCAGUCACCUCAAGUGGUCAGGAUGAUUAUUGGGCCUAAAGCAUCCGUAGCCGGCUCUGUAAGUUUUCGGUUAAAUCUGUACGCUCAACGUACAGGCUGCCGGGAAUACUGCAGAGCUAGGGAGUGGGAGAGGUAGACGGUACUCGGUAGGAAGGGGUAAAAUCCUUUGAUCUAUUGAUGACCACCUGUGGCGAAGGCGGUCUACCAGAACACGUCCGACGGUGAGGGAUGAAAGCUGGGGGAGCAAACCGGAUUAGAUACCCCAGUAGUC